UAUCAAGGUUUAUAUAUAUUUUAAUUUGGGUGCAAGUUACCAAACUUCUUUCAGAAUGCUGGGAUGUAUAGGUUUUCAUUUCACCUUCCUCAGUCAAGCUGUAAGAGUUGUGAGAGAUAGGUGGUAGUUAAGGGAUCUUCUAAGGUUGGAAAUUGGAGACUGUUGAGUUGUAAACAGAGCCCAGAGUUCUGUGUUAGGAUAUUCUAAUUGAAAGCUAUGAGUUGGACAAGAUCCAACCACAUUAUGAGGCUACCUUGGUGAUAUCUCCACAAAAUGAAUUGGCAUCAGUUUCAAUUCCAUGUCAAGGUAUUCC